AGGAGGAACAACCGCAGUGGCGGGGCCAGCUCUGGAGCCCUGGAGUCAGCCCCCGCAGUAGCUCCAGAGCUCUCCGUCUGCAGGGCCUGGAGGCUCCGGGGCGGG
rfam:Canis lupus familiaris chromosome 4, whole genome shotgun sequence.